AUAGUUCUAUUUAAAUUUAGGGUAAUACGUGGUUUUUACUAGUUAAUGAAAUAUUUACCGAAUAUUACGAGCAUAAGGUUAAAUCAUAAACGAUUGAACAAUGUGAUCAUUUUCAAAAAUAACGCAUUAUAGAGAACAAGGAAUUUCUAAUAACCCAUGUCUAUUAUGACAAACAAUGCACACAUCAAAGUUUCUACCUUUAACCAGAUUCUACUACAGCAGUCAUAGAUUUCCGUAGUUCGGAAAACAUGGCGGUAAUUCUCACUCAUGUUAAAAGUUUGUUCAGUUCAAAUUAAUAUUUCAAGAGGAAAAGAUUGCUAUAUUUCUUUCUUGCUUGUAAAAAAUUUGACCAAGUUUUUCUAGAAUCCACCACUACGUUAGUCAUAGAUUUUGGCAGUUUGAAAAAAAUAGCGGCAAUUCUCACUCAAAUGAAACGUCCGUCUGGUGGAAUAUAAUAUUUCAAGAAGAA